GAUGAACGCUGGCGGCGUGCCUAAUACAUGCAAGUCGAGCGAACAGACGAGGAGCUUGCUCCUCUGACGUUAGCGGCGGACGGGUGAGUAACACGUGGAUAACCUACCUAUAAGACUGGGAUAACUUCGGGAAACCGGAGCUAAUACCGGAUAAUAUAUUGAACCGCAUGGUUCAAUAGUGAAAGACGGUUUUGCUGUCACUUAUAGAUGGAUCCGCGCCGCAUUAGCUAGUUGGUAAGGUAACGGCUUACCAAGGCAACGAUGCGUAGCCGACCCGAGGGGGGGAUACGCCCAACAGGAAAUGAGGACACGGACAGAACCACAACGGAGGGAGGAGGGGGGAAGUUGUCCGAAAGGGGGAAAGGCUGAACAAGCCAUACCGGGGGGGGGAAGAAAGGUUUUCGGUUGUAAAGCCCUUGUGAUGAGAAAGAAACAAAUGAGUAAAAAACACCGCUGUUCUGGACGUACCCAAAGAAGAAGCACCGGCCAAACUCGU
rnacentral:rRNA from 1 species